GAUGAACGCUGGCGGCGUGCCUAAUACAUGCAAGUCGAGCGAAUGGAUUAAGAGCUUGCUCUUAUGAAGUUAGUGGCGGACGGGUGAGUAACACGUGGGUAACCUGCCCAUAAGACUGGGAUAACUCCGGGAAACCGGGGCUAAUACCGGAUAACAUUUUGAACCGCAUGGUUCGAAAUUGAAAGGCGGCUUCGGCUGUCACUUAUGGAUGGACCCGCGUCGCAUUAGCUAGUUGGUGAGGUAACGGCUCACCAAGGCAACGAUGCGUAGCCGACCUGAGAGGGUGAUCGGCCACACUGGGACUGAGACACGGCCCAGAAUCCUACGGGAGGCAGCAGUAGGGAAUCUUCCGCAAUGGACGAAAGUCUGACGGAGCAACGCCGCGUGAGUGAUGAAGGCUUUCGGGUCGUAAAACUCUGUUGUUAGGGAAGAACAAGUGCUAGUUGAAUAAGCUGGCACCUUGACGGUACCUAACCAGAAAGCCACGGCUAACUACGUGCCAGCCGCCGCCGUAA
rnacentral:rRNA from 1 species